AGAAUUUUUAUAAUUAAAAUAUUUAAUGGGGGUUAAAGUAUUUUAAUAGAAAAAAUUGAAAAAUUUAUAGUAAAAUAGUAUUGUUAAAGAAUUUUGAAAUAAUUUUGAAAUAUAUAAAUUAUUUUAAAAGUAAUUUUUAUUUAGUGUAUCUUGUGUAUCAGAGUUUAUUAAAAAUUAUUUUUAAUAAAAAAUUUCUCGAAUUUAAAAGAGAUAAUUAAUUUAAUAAAGUUAUUGUGGCAUAAAUAUUUUAAAUAAUUAAUUGGAAAUGAAAUGUUAAUCGUUUUUAAAGAUAUCUAGUUUUUUUAGAAAAAAAUUUAAUUUUAAAAUUUCAUCAUACUAUUUUAUAAAAAAAAAAUUUAUUUAUAAAUUUUUUUUUAAUGAAAUUUUUAUAUUUUAAGGGAUAAGCUUUAAAUUAAAAUUAUAUAAUAUUUUUUUAAUAUUAAUUGAAAAUUUUAUAAUUUAUAUUGUUAAUAAAUUUUAUUUUAUUAUAAAUAAUUUCAAUAUUAUAUAAAAUUUUAAAAAUUUAUUUAUGUUUUUAUAAAAAAAUAAUUUUUAAUUUAUAAAAAUUAGUUAUAAUGAUAAAAUUAGUAUAAUUAAUUAAAUUAAAUUAUAUUUUAAUUUAAAAUUAAAUAAAAUGAAUUCGGCAAAUAUUUAUAUUCACUUGUUUAUCAAAAACAUGUCUUUUUGUAAAUAAUUUAAAGUCUAAUCUGCCCACUGAUUUAAUAUUAAAGGGCUGCAGUAUUUUGACUGUACAAAGGUAGCAUAAUCAAUAGUCAUUUAAUUGAUGACUUGUAUGAAAGAUUGGAUGAAAUAUAAACUGUUUCUUAUUUAAAAUUUAGAAUUUAAUUUUUCAAUUAAAAAGUUGAAAUAUAUUAAAAAGACGAGAAGACCCUAUAGAGUUUUAUAUUUAUUUUGAGUUAAUAUUAUUUAUAAAAUUAAAAUUGAAAUUAAUAAAAAUAUUUUAUUGGGGUGAUAAAAAAAUAAAAUUAACUUUUUUUUGUAAUUUAACAUAAAUAAGUGAAUUAAUGAUCCAAUAUUAUUGAUUAAAAGAAAAAAUUACCUUAGGGAUAACAGCGUAAUUUUUUUUUUUAGUUCAAAUAAAAAAAAAAGUUUGCGACCUCGAUGUUGGAUUAAGAUAAAAUUUAAAUGCAAAAGUUUAAAAUUUUGAUCUGUUCGAUCAUUAAAAUCUUACAUGAUCUGAGUUCAAACCGGUGUGAGCCAGGUUGGUUUCUAUCUUUUAUAAAUUUUUUAUAUUUUAGUACGAAAGGAAUAAAUAUUGAAAUUAAAUUUAUUUAAUUGAAUAUUAUU
rnacentral:rRNA from 1 species